GUGGGUAUAGCUCAUUGUAGAGCACAUGUUUAGCAUAUAUGAGAUCCUGGGUUCAAUCCCUAGUACUUGCA
rnacentral:tRNA from 1 species